rnacentral:rRNA from 1 species
GAUGAACGCUGGCGGCGUGCCUAACACAUGCAAGUCGAGCGGCAGCGAGGGGUGCUUGCACCCUGUCGGCGAGCGGCGGACGGCUGAGUAACGCGUGGGAACGUGCCCCAAAGUGAGGAAUAACUGCCCGAAAGGGUAGCUAAUACCGCAUAUUAUCUUCGGAUCAAAGGAUUUAUCCGCUUUGGGAGCGGCUCGCGUCGGAUUAGGUAGUUGGUGAGGUAAUGGCUCACCAAGCCGACGAUCCGUAGCUGGUCUGAGAGGAUGACCAGCCAGACUGGAACUGAGACACGGUCCAGACUCCUACGGGAGGCAGCAGUGAGGAAUCUGCCACAAUGGGCGAAAGCCUGAUGGAGCAACGCCGCGUGCAGGACGAAGGCCUUCGGGUUGUAAACUGCUUUUAUAAGUGAGGAAUAUGACGGUAACUUAUGAAUAAGGAUCGGCUAACUACGUG